UACGAAGGGGGCUAGCGUUGCUCGGAAUCACUGGGCGUAAAGGGUGCGUAGGCGGGUUUUUAAGUCAGGGGUGAAAUCCUGGAGCUCAACUCCAGAACUGCCUUCGAUACUGUAGAGCUUGAGUUCGGGAGAGGUGAGUGGAACUGCGAGUGUAGAGGUGAAAUUCGUAGAUAUUCGCGAAGAACACCAGUGGCGAAGGCGGCUCACUGGCCCGGUACUGACGCUGAGGUGCGAAAGCGUGGGGAGCAAACAGG
rnacentral:rRNA from 1 species